rnacentral:rRNA from 1 species
UACGAAGGGGGCUAGCGUUGCUCGGAAUGAGUGGGAGUAAAGGGCGCGUAGGCGGCUUACAUAGUUAGGCGUGAAAUUCCUGGGCUCAACCUGGGGACUGCGUCUAAUACAUGUAGGCUUGAGUGUGAAAGAGGGUCGUGGAAUUUCCAGUGUAGAGGUGAAAUUCGUAGAUAUUGGAAAGAACACCGGUGGCGAAGGCGGCGACCUGGUUCAUUACUGACGCUGAGUCGCGAAAGCGUGGGGAGCAAACAGG